CAGUAGCCGCGGUAAUACGUAGGUGGCAAGCGUUGUCCGGAAUUAUUGGGCGUAAAGCGCGCGCAGGCGGAUCAGUUAGUCUGUCUUAAAAGUUCGGGGCUUAACCCCGCGAGGGGAUGGAAACUGCUGAUCUAGAGUAUCGGAGAGGAAAGUGGAAUUCCUAGUGUAGCGGUGAAAUGCGUAGAUAUUAGGAAGAACACCAGUGGCGAAGGCGACUUUCUGGACGAAAACUGACGCUGAGGCGCGAAAGCCAGGGGAGCGAACGGGAUUAGAUACCCCAGUAGUCCCUGUCUCUUAUACA
rnacentral:rRNA from 1 species